rnacentral:rRNA from 1 species
CGUGUAGGCGGUCUAUCGAGUCAGGCGUGAAAGCCCCGGGCUUAACCUGGGAACUGCGUUUGAUACUGAUAGACUAGAGGUUGGAAGAGGAGAGUGGAAUUCCCAGUGUAGAGGUGAAAUUCGUAGAUAUUGGGAAGAACACCAGUGGCGAAGGCGGCUCUCUGGUCCAUACCUGACGCUGAGGCGCGAAAGCGUGGGGAGCAAACAGGAUUAGAUACCCUGGUAGUC